rnacentral:misc_RNA from 1 species
GAAAUGCGAUAAGUAGUGUGAAUUGCAGAAUUCAGUGAAUCAUCGAAUCUUUGAACGCACAUUGCGCCCCUUGGUAUUCCAUGGGGCAUGCCUGUUCGAGCGUCAUUUACACCCUCAAGCUCCGCUUGGUGUUGGGCGUCUGUCCGCGCAGUUUGCGUGGACUCGCCCCAAAGGUAUUGGCAGCGGUCUUGCCAGCUUCUCGCGCAGCACAUUGCGCUUCUGGAGGCUCCGGCGGAUCGGCGUCCAUCAAGUCCACACCCACAGUUUGACCUCGGAUCAGGUAGGGAUACCCGCUGAACUUAA